rnacentral:rRNA from 1 species
CUACGGGGGGCUCCAGUGGGGAAUAUUGCACAAUGGGCGCAAGCCUGAUGCAGCCAUGCCGCGUGUAUGAAGAAGGCCUUCGGGUUGUAAAGUACUUUCAGCGGGGAGGAAGGGAGUAAAGUUAAUACCUUUGCUCAUUGACGUUACCCGCAGAAGAAGCACCGGCUAACUCCGUGCCAGCAGCCGCGGUAAUACGGAGGGUGCAAGCGUUAAUCGGAAUUACCGGGCGUAAAGCGCACGCAGGCGGUUUGUUAAGUCAGAUGUGAAAUCCCCGGGCUCAACCUGGGAACUGCAUCUGAUACUGGCAAGCUUGAGUCUCGUAGAGGGGGGUAGAAUUCCAGGUGUAGCGGUGAAAUGCGUAGAGAUCUGGAGGAAUACCGGUGGCGAAGGCGGUCCCCUGGACGAAGACUGACGCUCAGGUGCGAAAGCGUGGGGAGCAAACAGGAUUAGAUACCCUUGUAGUC